CAACAGGGAUUGCCCCAGUAACGGCGAGUGAAGCGGCAACAGCUCAAAUUUGAAAUCUGGCUCUCGGGCCCGAGUUGUAAUUUGUAGAGGAUGCUUUUGGUGAGGUGCCUUCCGAGUUCCCUGGAACGGGACGCCAUAGAGGGUGAGAGCCCCGUCUGGUUGGACACCGAUCCUCUGUAAAGCUCCUUCGACGAGUCGAGUAGUUUGGGAAUGCUGCUCUAAAUGGGAGGUAUAUGUCUUCUAAAGCUAAAUACCGGCCAGAGACCGAUAGCGCACAAGUAGAGUGAUCGAAAGAUGAAAAGAACUUUGAAAAGAGAGUUAAACAGUACGUGAAAUUGUUGAAAGGGAAGCGCUUGUGACCAGACUUGGGCUUGGUUGAUCAUCCGGGGUUCUCCCCGGUGCACUCUUCCGGCCCAGGCCAGCAUCAGUUCGCCCUGGGGGACAAAGGCUUCGGGAAUGUGGCUCUCUCCGGGGAGUGUUAU
rnacentral:rRNA from 10 species